AUUGAACGCUGGCGGCAGGCCUAACACAUGCAAGUCGAGCGGAUGAAGGGAGCUUGCUCCUGGAUUCAGCGGCGGACGGGUGAGUAAUGCCUAGGAAUCUGCCUGGUAGUGGGGGAUAACGUCCGGAAACGGGCGCUAAUACCGCAUACGUCCUGAGGGAGAAAGUGGGGGAUCUUCGGACCUCACGCUAUCAGAUGAGCCUAGGUCGGAUUAGCUAGUUGGUGGGGUAAAGGCCUACCAAGGCGACGAUCCGUAACUGGUCUGAGAGGAUGAUCAGUCACACUGGAACUGAGACACGGUCCAGACUCCUACGGGAGGCAGCAGUGGGGAAUAUUCGACAAUGGGCGAAAGCCUGAUCCAGCAAUGCCGCGUGUGUGAAGAAGGUCUUCGGAUUGUAAAGCACUUUAAGUUGGGAGGAAGGGAAGUAAGUUAAUCCCUUGCUGUUUUGACGUUACCAACAGAAUAAGCAACGGCUAACUUCGUG
rnacentral:rRNA from 1 species